GUAAGACAUGGACUUCCAUUUGGUAUGAGACUAGUUGAAAUCCGUGUCCAGUGAUUCAGAUUUAGCCAUCGCAGUUUCCUUAAACUGCUUGAGGCAAGUGCUGCACUAAUUCGUGUGAACAGUUAGUGCUCAGAGCCACAGACCGUCACUGAUUUGAAUCUAAGACAGUGAUCUGUCUUGAACGACUUCUUAAAGGGAUGUUAGACCAUAGGGUUCCUUCAUUCAUUCAUUCCUUUCUUUUCUUAAAUGCAGGCACUGACAGGCAUUCUCGCCACAUGUAAUGAGUCAUUGUCCCAGAGUAUACUGUAACACACUAAGAUUAACAUGUUGCCCCAUGAAACGGCCAGCUCUUCAACUAUUACAUACAGCACCGUGAAUUAUUGCUGUUAAAAAUUGUUGUAAUUACCCAGUUUUUGUGCAACUUUGUAUAACCGUCUGUAAAGAUAAUAGUUAAUUACAGUAAGAAUUUCAGCUUUUAUCUAAAAGUACCGUUUUGUAUAUGAAAAAUUACGCAAAACACAGAAUGUGUUAAUUUUUAUGAUAGAUAGUAUCCCAACAUGUUAAUAUUUUACUUCAGAAGUUAGUGAAGAAUCUUAAUUAAGUACCUGACCCUUAAAUGACAGUGUAUAUAAUAUUUUGAGGAAAAUAUUAAAAUUUACGUAAUAGUUUCAUUUUGGGACUGGUGCUAUAAGUUUAUUGCAGGAUGAUGAUACUUUCAGUUGCUGUGUUGUCGGAGUGAAUGAAUGUAGCAAGUACAUGAAGUGUUGAAAUUGUUAAGAAUUGUGAGUGAGUGUGGGAAUCAGACUGUGCAGCUUUGAUGUCACAUACAUGGGGUAAAAUGAUGAUUGAAAAAGCGGCCAGAUGUGGGUGCCGUGAACUUGGGUGAUGGGGAUCCAAGGGUGAAUAUUGGGAAAAUUUAAUUAAAUGAAACCUCUCACUUGUAUUUUUGUUUAAGGUGUUGCGACCAAUGCAGUUAAGAUGGCCAUUCUGUAUCUACAAGAUGUUAAGGUGCCAAGAGGCUGUUUUUAUUUUAUAAUGUUAGCAGACAUUUUAGUCUGCUGCUAAUCCGCAUGAAAUUUUUAUACCUCUUAAACUGUUGUUUGGUGCUAGCUAGUGACUGGAUUGGCAUGUCACUGGAGUUAUAUUCUCAGUUCAGCGUAUUUUGGGAUGAUGAAGCAGAGCGGACUUUCACAAAACCAGUGUUGUUGAUGCAGAACAGUUGUCGGAUGAUAAAGAAGAAACUAUUCCAGAUGAAGUAGACACAUCUGUAGAAGAUGGAUAAAAUGGUGAUGCAGCCAUUGCAGAUGACAGGAUAAACAAUUUAAAGGAAGGAGACUGAGUUAAGGUCAAGUUUUCUUGCGAUAAGUGUGUGAAGGUAUUCAUUGGAAAGAUUCUUUAAGUUUUUAAGGAAAAUGGACAAUACAUUGGAACAUUCCUUUGCCAAUCGAAGAAGUGCUCAGAUGUGUUUGCUUUUCCUGAUGUGACCGAUGAUUGUGUUUUCUCAAAAGCAGAUAUUAUUGGUGUUUUGAAGACACCAACUAUGCAAGAAGGAUGUCACACGUUCAAUCCAAACCCAUUUUUGUAAUGACUGAUUUGUUUAGUUAACCAAUUUGCAGAUUUUAUGCUACCCUUGAUUUUUAUAAUUUUAAAUUGUAUUGGUAAAAUUACAAUUAUUGGUUUAAAAUAAACAAAUACUCACUAGUA